rnacentral:lncRNA from 1 species
AGUACCGUUGAUUUUUAAUGUUUCGUUCGUUUCAGGUAUAUAGCAAUGUGAUUCUGUUACAUGCACACAUAUUUUUCAGAUUCCUUUCCCUUAUAGGUUAUUACAAAAUAUUGAAUACGGUUCCCUGUAUUAACCUUAGGUCCUUGUUGGUUGUCUCUUUUAUAUACAGCAGUGUGUAAAUGUUAAGCCCAAACUCCCAAUUUCUCCCCCCUCCUCUUCCCCUUUGGUAACUGUAAGUUUGUUUUCUACAUCCUUGUUUUUUAACACAGAAGGUUCUCAACAUAAUUUUAACCUUAUAAACAGUCAUCGCCUGUCACAUGUGAACCUGGUCUUAUUACCUGGAAGCAGGAGGAAGAAGUUCAGAAAUCAACAUAAUCACUGGGGCAACUAGAGUGACUUCCAAAGUGGAAGGGGUGACAUUGCCCUUUGGCCCCCCCAGCAUCUGUUCCUAUUUCCUCCUGCCUGUCAGAACUCAGGUUAGAACUCUGGCACUUUCCUUUCCCCAGGGGGCCUCAGGGGAAGCGAAUCCAAAUUGGCCUCUUCACCUCCGCUUACUCCUGGGACGGGCCUAAUCUCAAACCCUUGCCAGGGGAUGGUUCAGAAAUGAUCAGACGAUCAGGCCAACAAGGCAAAAGGAGAAGCUUUCUGAAAGCCUCUGGGGAAAAUAUCCUUUCUUCAGAGGCUGCCAUGGGAAGUCUCUCUGGGCAUCACUCUUCCUGGGUAGGAAGCAAACCACUAUAGCUGUCUUGGUUCCAGGCUGAGGAUGGGAGUGAGAAAAGGAGAGAGCUAAGAGAAUCGCAGGGAAAUCGAGCCAGAGCCGUUAGACCCAUCAACCUCAAAGCCUCAAGUACCUCUGGACUUGGGGGACCUGCGCUUAUUUCAUAAGCUGGCCUGAGGUUUCUGCUGCGUGUAAGUAAAUCUUAACUCAUGCAAGUUGUUAUGAGGACUAUUGGGAAGUUUUUAGUUUUUAACAAAGGCAAAGCACUUGCCUGUGUAAAGAAUGUAUGAUUGACCAACAGAGAAGAGAAACUGCUUUGUAAUACAACAGGAAGCCUUGCUCUACAGUGAAAAUGAUUCUGACAUAAUUUAGCCCAGAACCUAAAGCUUCAUCAUCAUUCAGGACAGUUUGAACAUGACCAGGUAAAAUGAUUCACAAUCUUAGAAACAGAUAUCUACAUGGCCAUACUCAACUUUAGCACAGGACACUUUUUUUUUUAAUGGCUGCACCAGCCGCACAUGGACGUUCCCAGGCCAGGGACUGAAUCCAAGCUGCAGCUGCAGCCUAUGCCACAGCUGUGGCAAUGCUGGAUCCUUAACCGCCUGUGCCAGCCUGGGGUUGGGGGGGGGGGUCCAAUCUGUGCUGACACCCACAUCUGUAACCUGCUGCACCAGCAGGAACUCUGCACAGGAUUCAUUGAAGAGGAUGACACGGACAUCCUACUGUGCCGUGUAAAAUGGUCCUCAAACUACCCCGGGCAAGAGACGGAGGCUGCUCUAGAGGCUCCAACAGUAAUAAUACAGUUCCCAAUGGAUGGAGCAUGGGCUGGAGGAGGGUCAAUCAAAUGUAUGGAAGCCAAGGCCCAUUUUGUGCAUAAAUAAAAAUGAAGAGCCUUCAGGAAUUGGAAAAAAUGUUCCUUUCCCAUCUGAAAUGCCUCCCCCAAAUUCCUGAUGUUUGAAAUGAUGUUAACGCAGAAAUAAAGAUAGUUCCUUAACAACAAGAGAUAAAAGACCUCAGGUGCAAAUUUCCCAGAGAGCACCAGUAUGGCACUAAAAACACGGCACUCUGAAGUGAAUAUUCGUUUGCUUUCUGUCCCACUGGCUCUAGAAUAUAAGCUUUGUGAGGCCAGGCAUAUUUUUGUCUUGGUCAUUGCUGUGUUGUUUGUAACUAAAAUGGUGCCUAAUCCCUAAAACAUAUAAAGUAAACAUUUAUGAAUAAGUGCAUGAGUGAGUGAAUGACUUAGCUGAUCCUUACCAAAAGCACACUUUUAUAGCAGAGAAGAAAUUUUUAGAGAACACUGUGUAGCUGAAAGAGAUAAAGGAAAAGUGAACUAUGUGGAAGCAAAGGGGGCGAAAAAAAAUGAACAAAAGAAAGAUGAUCUUUUCUUCUCCACAUUUAGUGGAGGACAGCUCCUGAUUGGCUUCUCACACUAGACCCCCUAGACCCAUGCUGAGGAAUUGGAAAACCUGGCGUCCUUAGGCUUGAGACUCAUGGACAGUAUUCAAACCAAGCAGCAGAACCACACUGCACCUGCAGUCUCCACAGGCCUGUCCUUUUUCUCCAGUAUCUAUGCCCCCAGGUCCCCUCGCCAAAGUCCACAGGUGGAUUGAUCAUGAAGCUGAUGAAGGUUAAGCUUUGGUGCCCCCUAUAUGCGAGGAGGAAUCCUAGCAGUGCCUUCACUUGUCCUGAGUUUCUGCAAAAUUUGAAGAAGUCAGAUAUUUUAGUCAUAAUAGGCCAAACUGCUGUCUCUUUUUCUUCUGACUUGCCCUCUUCUCAGGUGGCAUCAGAGUGGCUGCAGGCAUGUGAGGGAGAGGGCGGCAGCUGAAGCAAGUGCAGUUGGAAAUGUACUAGUCUGUGUUUAAUGGGAUGUGUUGGUGUGAUUCCCAGUUAACUUGUAUGUAUCAUUAUUUCUAGCCAUCCUGUUGUGCGAGUGGCUUUCAGGAACAUUCCCACAGCCCACCGUGGAAACUCACCUGGUGUCAUCACAUAAAGUGGCAGAUCUAAAUGUUGUGUCAUAAGAUGAAUGUGUUCUGUGACUUUAGGGGAGGAAAAGAGAAGUUUGAAAUGGAGCCAGAAGAUAGUCUGUAGAAAAUUCUUUCCAAUCAAUUUUUAAGAAAGGAUUCAUUGACGUCUACUCAAAGUGAAGUUCUUUACUACUUUGGGAAUACAUAUGAAGAUGCAAUAUAUACUUUUAUGGUUCUGUACCACACAAUGAAAUUAUUUUUCAUGUAUUUGCAUAUGAAGUCAACAGAAAUUAUUCUGACAUCUAAAGGGAACUGGAAUGAAAAGAUCAUUCCAAAAGGAGUAAAUCAUUAGAAGGAAGAGAUCAAUUGCAAAUAGAAAUAAUAAAUAGGCUCUUGGAUUAUGUAAUGAUCCAGUUGAUGAAGAGUGAGCUAUAUGAACAUAUUUGAAAAAAAAAUACACUUCUUUAUGAUUUGUCAGGAAUGUGCAUAUUGACAAAGAUGAUGUAGUGUAUAAUACACUGUGGAUAUUUACCACAAAAUAGUUAACAGUCUGCACCAUCAAUUCAAAACCUUCAAGAUGAGGCACUAAAAAACAACAACAAAAAAACUGGAAAUGCUCUGAAAUCUUAGAAAUGACCAAAACUUUGGGUGAAGUUUCCAAAAUGUAACUAUGAUCCUAAACAUCUAUGGGAUGAUAACCAACGAUGAGCUGAGAAGCAAGACACAAACUUUUCUCCAUUGUUAAUAAACAAAUUUGAUCAAUCGGGCUAGAGGAAUGCAUGGUUUAUCUUUACACGCUCUAGAGAGAAAAUAUUACAAGAUCUUUGUGAUAGAAUGAGGUAGUCCAGGAAUAUGGAGCUUU